GAUGAACGCUGGCGGCGUGCCUAAUACAUGCAAGUCGAGCGAACGGACGAGAAGCUUGCUUCUCUGAUGUUAGCGGCGGACGGGUGAGUAACACGUGGAUAACCUACCUAUAAGACUGGGAUAACUUCGGGAAACCGGAGCUAAUACCGGAUAAUAUUUUGAAACGCAUGGUUCAAAAGUGAAAGACGGUCUUGCUGUCACUUAUAGAUGGAUCCGGGCUGCAUUAGCUAGUUGGUAAGGUAACGGCUUACCAAGGCAACGAUGCAUAGCCGACCUGAGAGGGUGAUCGGCCACACUGGAACUGAGACACGGUCCAGACUCCUACGGGAGGCAGCAGUAGGGAAUCUUCCGCAAUGGGCGAAGGCCUGACGGAGCAACGCCGCGUGAGUGAUGAAGGUCUUCGGAUCGUAAAACUCUGUUAUUAGGGAAGAACAUAUGUGUAAGUAACUGUGCACAUCCUGACGGUACCUAAUCAGAAAGCCACGGCUAACUACGUG
rnacentral:rRNA from 1 species